UCGAGAAUCUUCGGCAAUGGGCGAAAGCCUGACCGAGCGAUGCCGCGUGCGGGAUGAAGGCCUUCGGGUUGUAAACCGCUGUCAGUUGGGAGGAAAUCUAUGAGGGUCAUCCCUCAUAGUUGACCUAUCUUCAGAGGAAGGACGGGCUAAGUUCGUGCCAGCAGCCGCGGUAAGACGAACCGUCCAAACGUUAUUCGGAAUCACUGGGCUUAAAGGGUGCGUAGGCGGCGCGGUCAGUCGGAUGUGAAAUCGUACAGCUCAACUGUACAACUGCGUCCGAUACUACCGUGCUUGAGGAAGGCAGAGGUGAGCGGAACUCAGGGUGGAGCGGUGAAAUGCGUUGAUAUCCUGGGGAACACCGGUGGCGAAGGCGGCUCACUGGGCCUUUUCUGACGCUGAGGCACGAAAGCUAGGGUAGCGAACAGGAUUAGAUACCCCCGUAGUCC
rnacentral:rRNA from 1 species